rnacentral:rRNA from 1 species
ACUCAAAUGAAUUGACGGGGGCCCGCACAAGCGGCGGAGCAUGUUGCUUAAUUCGACGCAACGCGAAGAACCUUACCAAGGCUUGACAUACAGGGAAAAGCCGCAGAGAUGUGGUGUCCGCAAGGGUCCUGUACAGGUGGUGCAUGGCUGUCGUCAGCUCGUGUCGUGAGAUGUUGGGUUAAGUCCCGCAACGAGCGCAACCCUCGUCCUAUGUUGCCAGCGGGUAAUGCCGGGGACUCAUGGGAGACUGCCGGGGUCAACUCGGAGGAAGGUGGGGAUGAGGUCAAGUCCGCAUGCCCCUUAUGUCUUGGGCUGCAAACAUGCUACAAUGGUCGGUACAGAGGGCUGCAAGACCGCAAGGUUGAGCGAAUCUCAAAAAGCCGAUCUCAGUUCGGAUUGGGGUCUGCAACUCGACCCCAUGAAGUCGGAGUCGCUAGUAAUCGCGAAUCAGCAACGUCGCGGUGAAUACGUUCCCGGGCCUUGCACACACCGCCCGU